rnacentral:rRNA from 1 species
UUCGAUUCUGGCUCCAGAUUGAACGCUGGCGGGAUGCUUUACACAUGCAAGUCGAACAGCAGCACGGACUUCGGUCUGGUGGCGAGUGGCGAACGGGUGGGUAAUGUAUCCCGGAACGUGCCCUGGUAGCGAGGAUAACUGCGCGGCGUAGCUAAUACCACAUACGCCCUUCGGGGGAAAAGCAGGGGACCUUCGGGCCUCGCACUAUUAAACGGCCGAUAUCAGUUAGCUAGUUGGUGGGGUAACGGCUCACCAAGGCGACGAUCCGUAGCCGGUUUAGAGGACGACCAGCCACACUGGGACGAGACUUUUGGCCCAGACUCCUACAGAGGAGGCAGCGGUGGGAAUUUUGGACAAUGGAAACCUGAUCCAGCCAUCCCGCGUGUGAUAGGCGCUGAGUUGUAAAGCACUUUUGGCAGGAAGAAAACGGCACGGGAUAAUGCCCGUGCAACUGACAGUACCUGCAGAAUAAGCACCGGCUAACUACGUGCCAGCAGCACUGAUGGCCGCUGAGUGCGAAGCGUUAAUCGGAAUUACUGGGCGUAAAGCGUGCGCAGGCGGUUCGGAAAGAAAGAUGUGAAAUCCAGAGCUUAACUUUGGGAACUGCAUUUUAACUACCGAGCUAGAGUGUGUCAGAGGAGUGGAAUUCCGCGUGUAGCAGUGAAAUGCGUAGAUAGGAGGAACACCAUUGGCGAAGGGCAGCACUCACUAAGGAUAACACUGACGCUCAUGCACGAAAACGUGGGGAGCAAACGGAUUAGAUACCCUGGUAGUCCACGCCCUAAACGAUGUCAACUAGCUGUUGGGGCCUUCCGGGCCUUGGUAGCGCAGCUAACGCGUGAAGUUGACCGCCUACGGGGAAGUACGGUCGCAAGAUUAAAACUCAAAGGAAUUGACGGGGACCCGCACAAGCGGUGGAUGAUGUGGAUUAAUUCGAUGCAACACGAAAAGCCUUACCUACCCUUGACAUGUCACGGAAUCCCGAAGAGAGGAUUUGGGAGUGCUCGCAAGAACCGGAACACAGGUGCUGCAUGGCUGUCGUCAGCUCGUGUCGUGAGAUGUUGGGUUAAGAAUCCCGCAGCAAGCGCAACCGCUGUCAUUAGUUGCUACGAAAGGGCACUCUAAUGAGACUGCCAGUGUCACGACCGGAAGGUGGGGAUGACAUCGAAGUCCCCUCGACCCUUAUGGGUGGGGCCUCACACGUCCUUCAAUGGUCGGGACAGGAGAUUAAACCAGCCCGCGAGGGUAAUCCCAGAAACCCGAUCGUAGUCGGAUCGCAGUCUGCAACUCGACUGCGUGAAGUCGGAAUCGCUAGUAAUCGCGGAUCAGCAUGUCGCGGUGAAUACGUUUCUGGUCUGUACCACACCGCCCGUCACACCAUGGGGUGGGUUUACCAGAAGUAGUUAGCCUAACCGUAAGGGCGAUUACCACGGUAGGAUUCAUGGGCUGGGUGAAGUCAUGUCGAGUAA